rnacentral:rRNA from 1 species
CAGCAGCCGCGGUAAUACGUAGGGUGCAAGCGUUAAUCGGAAUUACUGGGCGUAAAGCGUGCGUAGGCGGCUAAUUGAGUCGGAUGUGAAAUCCCCGAGCUUAACUUGGGAAUUGCAUUCGAUACUGGUUAGCUAGAGUGUGGGAGAGGAUGGUAGAAUUCCAGGUGUAGCGGUGAAAUGCGUAGAGAUCUGGAGGAAUACCGAUGGCGAAGGCAGCCAUCUGGCCUAACACUGACGCUGAGGUACGAAAGCAUGGGGAGCAAACAGGAUUAGAUACCCGCGUAGUCCCUGUCUCUUAUAC